rnacentral:rRNA from 1 species
UACGAAGGGGGCUAGCGUUGCUCGGAAUCACUGGGCGUAAAGCGCACGUAGGCGGGUUCUUAAGUCAGGGGUGAAAUCCUGGAGCUCAACUCCAGAACUGCCUUUGAUACUGGGAAUCUCGAGUCCGGGAGAGGUGAGUGGAACUGCGAGUGUAGAGGUGAAAUUCGUAGAUAUUCGCAAGAACACCAGUGGCGAAGGCGGCUCACUGGCCCGGUACUGACGCUGAGGUGCGGAAAGCGUGGGGAGCCAAAC